rnacentral:rRNA from 1 species
GACGAACGCUGGCGGCGUGCUUAACACAUGCAAGUCGAACGGAAAGGCCCUGCUUUUGUGCGGUGCUCGAGUGGCGAACGGGUGAGUAACACGUGAGUAACCUGCCCUUGCCUUUGGGAUAACUUCAGGCAACUGGGGCUAAUACCGGAUAGGAGCUCCUGCUGCAUGGUGGGGGUGGGUUAGUUUCGGCGGUUGGGGUUGGACUGGCGGCUUAUCAGCUUGUUGGUGGGGUAGUGGCUUACCAAGGCUUUGACGGGUAGCCGGCCUGAGAGGGGAACCUGACACAUUGGGACUGAGAUACGGCCCGGACUCCUACGGGAGGGAGCGGUGGGGAAUGUUGCACAAUGGGAGGAAGCCAGAUGCAGCAACGCCGCGUGCGGGGUGACGGCAUUCGGGUUGUAAACCGCAUUCGCCUGUGACGAAGUGAGAGUGACGGUACUGGGUAAAGAAGCACCGGCUAACUACGUG